rnacentral:rRNA from 1 species
GACGAACGCUGGCGGCGUGCUUAACACAUGCAAGUCGAACGAAAACGCCCUGCCUUUGUGGGCUUGUGGGGGGGCGAAGGGGUGAGCAACACGUGAGUUACUUGCCCCUGACUGUAAGAUAACUUCAGCCCACUGCGGGUAUUCCCAGCUAUGAUCUAUUGCCCCUUGGUGGGCGUUGGAAAGAUUCGGCGGUUGGGGUUGUGCUCGCGUCGUAUCACCAUGUUGGUUAGGUAGUGGCUUAGCAAGGCCAUGACGCCUAGCAGUCCUGAGAGGAUAACAGGCCGGAUUAGGACUGAGAGACGGCCCAGACUCCUCCGGCACGCCGCAGUGGGGAAUAUUGCACAAUGAGCGGAAGCCUGAAGGAGCCACGCCGUGUGCGGGAUGACGGCCUUCGGGUUGUAGACCGCUUUCGGAUGGGACGGAGCGUGAGUGACGGUACAGGAUUAAGAAGCGCGGGCUAACUACGUG